GCAGGAAGGCUGGGCGGACGUUGCCCCUGCCAAUUCGGUCAGGUCCGAGAGGAAGCAGCCGCAGUAGGAUGUUUACGGGUCAUCCAGUCUUCCACUGAC
rnacentral:SRP_RNA from 1 species